rnacentral:rRNA from 1 species
CGGAGGGUGCAAGCGUUAUCCGGAAUCAUUGGGUUUAAAGGGUCCGCAGGCGGAAGUAUAAGUCAGUGGUGAAAGCCUACAGCUCAACUGUAGAACUGCCAUUGAUACUGUACUUCUUGAAUUUGGUCGAAGUGGGCGGAAUAUGACAUGUAGCGGUGAAAUGCUUAGAUAUGUCAUAGAACACCGAUAGCGAAGGCAGCUCACUAGUCCAGUAUUGACGCUCAUGGACGAAAGCGUGGGGAGCAAACAGGAUUAGAUACCCUGGUAGUCCACGCCGUAAACUAUCAAUACUCGUUUUCAGCGAUAUACUGUUGGAGACUAAGCGAGAGUGAUAAGUAUUGCACCUGGGGAGUACGAUCGCAAGGUUG